rnacentral:rRNA from 1 species
ACGGGGUGCAGCAGGCGCGAACCUAGCAAUAGGCGAAGCUCGACAGGGUACUCUCGAGUGAUCCCCGUCAGGAGAUCCCCCGGCACCUCCAAAACGGUGCAGAAUAGGGGUGGGCAAGUCCGGUGUCAGCCGCCGCGGUAAUACCAGCACCCCGAGUGGUCGGGACGUUAUGGGCCCUAAGCAUCCGUAGCCGGUUCCACAAGUCUUCCGUUAAAUCCACCUGCUACAGAUGGGCUGCGGAAGAUACUAUAGAGCUAGGAGGCGGGAGAGGCAAGCGGUACUCGAUGGGUAGGGGUAAAAAUCCGUUUGAUCCAUUGAAGACCACCAGUGGCGAAGCGGCUUGCCAGAACGCGCUCGACGGUGAGGGAUGAAAGCUGGGGGAGCAAACCGGAUUAGAUACCCGGGUAGUCCCAGCUGUAAACGAUGCAGACUCGGUGAUGAGUUGGCUUAUUGCUAACUCAGUGCCGCA